UACGAAGGGGGCUAGCGUUGCUCGGAAUUACUGGGCGUAAAGCGUGCGCAGGCGGUCUGCUAAGAGAGGUGUGAAAUCCCCGGGCUCAACCUGGGAACUGCAUUUGUGACUGCAAGGUUAGAGUACGGUAGAGGGGGAUGGAAUUCCGCGUGUAGCAGUGAAAUGCGUAGAUAUGCGGAGGAACACCGAUGGCGAAGGCAAUCCCCUGGACCUGUACUGACGCUCAUGCACGAAAGCGUGGGGAGCAAACAGG
rnacentral:rRNA from 1 species